GUCUUUCCCAGGGCCUCCUUAAUCAACGUCCUGGAAGAUCUUUGAUCAUAGAAUGAAAACCCACUUUAUAGAGAGGAGGAUCUAAGUGGAAACAAGUUUCCCUGAGAACGCUUUCUCAUAUCUAAGGCACAGCUCUGAGAUUGGGUGACUCUGUUAUUCUGAAAUGCCCUCAGAACAGGUAGGAAUAUUUUCUUCCUUUUUCCAUGUAAAGUCUUUGCUAUUUUACUUUCUUUUGAUAUUACCAAGAAAUUGGUUAAAUUCAUAUCUUUAUCUGAAGGUCUGCAUAUUAGUUUACAGAUUGACCUAAAAACAUGUAUUCUGCAUGCACUCACAUGUUUCCGGAUUUCAUAUUCUGGUUCUCACUCUCAGAGGGGCCAGUGAACGUGUGACUCAUACUGGCCCAGCGUGCAUG
rnacentral:lncRNA from 1 species